CCCGAGACCCGCCUAUUUGGUCUGAUUUUGGCCCGCUAACAGACUGCCGAGCGGACAGAGUUUUUCCUGUACAUCCUAGGCAUCACAAUCAAUACAAUACGCGAGAUUCCAACCAGGAACAGUAUUCAACAUACAGAUUGCAUAAGAAAGUAUCAAAACUAUAAAACAACUAAGUUAUUACAAGCAUUCAGCUCACUUGCAUUUUACAUUACAUUUUCUUUUACAUUCGACUUCUAAAUACAAUCAACCAUUACAAAUUUGUUUCUUUCAUUUCUAUACCCCUAGUUAGACUGACUUAGGGUACCGCUAUCUCUGAUCUCUAUGGUAGGGCGCUAUCUACGGAGAUACGCCCUUUCCUCGCGCCGCGCGCAGCUCACGUGUGAACCUGUAAUUCCCAAAACAACAUGGGAUAAGAACUAUUGUCCAUAAUUCUCAGUGGGUACGGCCACCCAAGGUAAGAGCUCAACCCACCAGGUCUGAAGGAGGCACUACAACAUGUUAAUCCAACAGAUAUCCACAGAUAUAUAUAUAUAUAUAUAUAUAGAGCAGGGCUGCUGUGCUCUCAGGAGCACGGAGGCCUCCGUGCUCCUGAGCCGUUUUUUAUGAUGGAAUUUUCGAAUUGACGAUCGGCUCCGUUAGACUUGAUCUAGCGCAUUUGAAGUUUCUAAAAAAUAAUUUUUGUGAUUUUUCAAUAUCAUUUACCUAGUGAUUGAAAGGAUUCAAAAUCCAUAAUUUUUAAUGGUUGAUAUCUGCUGUUUUCAAGUUUAACGGUGUAGAAGUAUUCAAAUCAGAUGAAAUUUUGAUACAAAAUUCUUUA
rnacentral:lncRNA from 1 species